rnacentral:rRNA from 1 species
CCUACGGGUGGCAGCAGUGGGGAAUAUUGGACAAUGGGCGAAAGCCUGAUCCAGCCAUGCCGCGUGUGUGAAGAAGGCCUUCGGGUUGUAAAGCACUUUCAGUGGGGAAGAAAGCCUUGGGGCUAAUACCCUCGAGGAAGGACAUCACCCACAGAAGAAGCACCGGCUAACUCCGUGCCAGCAGCCGCGGUAAUACGGAGGGUGCGAGCGUUAAUCGGAAUUACUGGGCGUAAAGCGCGCGUAGGCGGUCUGAUAAGCCGGUUGUGAAAGCCCCGGGCUCAACCUGGGAACGGCAUCCGGAACGGUCCGGCUAGAGUGCAGGAGAGGAGGGUAGAAUUCCCGGUGUAGCGGUGAAAAGCGUAGAGAUCGGGAGGAAUACCAGUGGCGAAGGCGGCCUUCUGGACUGACACUGGCGCUGAGGUGCGAAAGCGUGGGUAGCAAACAGGAUUAGAUACCCUAGUAGUC